UACGGGGGGGGCGAGCGUUGUUCGGAAUUACUGGGCGUAAAGGGCGCGUAGGCGGCCCUCUAAGUCGGACGUGAAAUCCCUCGGCUCAACCGGGGAACUGCGUCCGAUACUGGGGGGCUCGAAUUCGGGAGAGGGAUGCGGAAUUCCAGGUGUAGCGGUGAAAUGCGUAGAUAUCUGGAGGAACACCCGUGGCGAAGGCGGCAUCCUGGACCGGUAUUGACGCUGAGGCGCGAAAGCCAGGGGAG
rnacentral:rRNA from 1 species